CAGCGAAACGGGGCUUCGGCCCCGUCCACUGCUACGAGGCAGUGCUGACGAGCUGCACAAA
rnacentral:hammerhead_ribozyme from 1 species